UCUAAUAAAGAGUCUCUCUUUGAUUUCGAUUGACCGCACCCUAGUAAUGAGUGUGCCAACAGAUUUCAAUUCAACCGUCAAAUGAAACAAUUCGCAUUGAAUCUCAGAUUGCAGCCACUUCUAAUGAUAUCUAAUUAUGUAUGUUAUGCAGAUCGAGGGCUGAACGUUAGAGUCAAAGAAACAGUUAUGCAAAAAGAAACACCGGCGCAUCUCACACUAGUUUCGAUCGCCAUUGGAGUCAAAGUCUGGCUAACAGAAGUGGCGCGGCAGAAUAACAUAACAUGAGUUUCCACCGCCCCGUUUGAGUCAAGUCUGGCUAACAGAAGCGGCGCGGCAGAAUAACAUAACAUGAGGUAAGGAUUAAACCUUGUAAUAAUGCUGGCAAUAAUCUUAUGUUCACAUAGAAUCCAUGAUGACAUAGAGAAUUAACAUAUUUUUGUUUGUCGUUAGUUUUGAAUCAGGAACAUAAAUCGAUGCGAAGAGACUUUUGGACAUGAAUCGAAAAAAAAAA
rnacentral:lncRNA from 1 species